rnacentral:rRNA from 1 species
CCUACGGGGGGCUGCAGUGGGGAAUUUUGGACAAUGGGGGAAACCCUGAUCCAGCCAUUCCGCGUGAGUGAAGAAGGCCUUCGGGUUGUAAAGCUCUUUCAGCAGGGAAGAAACGGUUUUGGAUAAUACCUGAGACUAAUGACGGUACCUGCAGAAGAAGCACCGGCUAACUACGUGCCAGCAGCCGCGGUAAUACGUAGGGUGCGAGCGUUAAUCGGGAUUACUGGGCCUAAUGCGUGAGCAGGCGGUUAAAGCCCCGGGCUCAACCUGGGAACCGCGUUUGAAACUACAAGGCUAGAGUGUAGCAGAGGGGGGUAGAAUUCCACGUGUAGCAGUGAAAUGCGUAGAGAUGUGGAGGAAUACCGAUGGCGAAGGCAGCCCCCUGGGUUAACACUGACGCUCAUGUACGAAAGCGUGGGGAGCAAACAGGAUUAGAUACCCCGGUAGUC